CCUACGGGCGGCAGCAGUGAGGAAUAUUGGUCAAUGGACGAGAGUCUGAACCAGCCAAGCCGCGUGAAGGACGACUGUCCUACGGGUUGUAAACUUCUUUUAUAAAGGAAUAAAACGAGGCUCGUGUGCCUUUUUGCAUGUACUUUAUGAAUAAGGAUCGGCUAACUCCGUGCCAGCAGCCGCGGUAAUACGGAGGAUCCGAGCGUUAUCCGGAAUUAUUGGGUUUAAAGGGAGCGUAGGUGGGUUGUUGAGUCAGUUGUGAAAGUUUGGGGCUCAACCGUCAAAUAGCAGUUGAUACUGGCAGUCUUGAGUAGUGGUGAGGUAGGCGGAAUUCGUGGUGUAGCGGUGAAAUGCUUAGAUAUCACGAAGAACCCCGAUUGCGAAGGCAGCUUACUAACCGCUGACUGACAUUGAUGCUCGAAAGUGUGGGUAUCAAACAGGAUUAGAUACCCGAGUAGUC
rnacentral:rRNA from 1 species